UCCAGACUCCUACGGGAGGCAGCAGUGGGGGAUAUUGCACAAUGGGGGGAACCCUGAUGCAGCGACGCCGCGUGGGUGAAGAAGCGCCUCGGCGCGUAAAGCCCUGUCAGCAGGGAAGAAAAUGACGGUACCUGAAGAAGAAGCCCCGGCUAACUACGUGCCAGCAGCCGCGGUAAUACGUAGGGAGCGAGCGUUAUCCGGAAUUAUUGGGUGUAAAGGGUGCGUAGACGGGAAAACAAGUUAGUUGUGAAAUCCCUCGGCUUAACUGAGGAACUGCAACUAAAACUAUUUUUCUUGAGUGCAGGAGAGGUAAGUGGAAUUCCUAGUGUAGCGGUGAAAUGCGUAGAUAUUAGGAGGACCACCAGUGGCGAAGGCGACUUACUGGACUGUAACUGACGCUGAGGCUCGAACGCGUGGGGAGCAAACAGGAUUAGAUACCCGAGUAC
rnacentral:rRNA from 1 species